rnacentral:misc_RNA from 1 species
GUUGGCCGAUUUGGCCAAUAGGUCAUCAGCUCACUGAACAAUUAUGAACGGACCUCAAGAACCUUCCUCUUCAAACACAUCAAAACAAAAUCAGCGUAUCAAAAUAAAAUUAUCAUGCGAAGCGAUAACUAAGCAGUACGAAGAAGAAAGCUCUUCACUUUAAGCUACGAUUGCUAGAAACCUACCCAAAAGAUCUAUAUAAAGCCCACCUAACACUGAAGAGCGCUAACCCACUGUCAAGAAAGGAGGGAAGGCAAAGGAGACGCUUGGACAACGAAGCUCCCAAACAAAACCCUCAAAAACAUGGGAAAAGCUCUCUGUACAAGGGUAGAGAGAGGAAAAGCAACGGACACUUUUUUA